UUAAUUUUCUGCUAUCGUUUGUUAGGCAAACCAGUCUUUUGUAAGGAGUCUUUUACCUGAUGGUGAUUUUUCUCUUCUUAUCAAUGUCUUGAGAAAAUUCCUCCGCUUCAUUAAGCUCACGAGUGGCACAAGUGGCCAUGGAAUUGAAAAAAUUGUUAAAGUAUUGGAAAGUUGCAAGUGAACCAAACAAGCCAAGUUGUUUUGGGAAACAGUAAUGAUUUACCACAGUAGUCUACUGUUUGUAAAGUGAUGUACAUUUUUUUAUUUCUACAUAAUUAUCACCAGAUGAAAAUUAAAUUCAUAUCCAGCACAGCACUUAAUGAGA